CUGUCCUUUUAAGGUCACCAUUGUGCUUUAAGAGGCUAAGAGUUAACAGCAGGGUGAAAGAACUCCGCAUCAAAUCCAGGGAGGAGACUGAACAUCUCCUCUUUGGAUCCUGUCUGGAGUCAUAGAU
rnacentral:snoRNA from 1 species